UCCCUCCCUUCAAGGACAUCCAAUACAACUGGAACGAUAGAGAAAAGAUUAGCAUGGUCACUGUAUAAGAAUGACAAUAAUGCAAAACUUUAAGGAAAAAUAA